AACAGAGUAGCCAAAAGGAACGGCGAGCGGCUUUGAACCGUUUAUAUGUUAGUUCGAGUCUAACCUCUGUUGCCA
rnacentral:tRNA from 1 species